rnacentral:lncRNA from 1 species
AGGAUGUAUUGAAGAAUCUGGUCAUAUUUCUGAGAAGAAAAGGAGACUAAGUGUUGAACAAGUAAAAGCUUUAGAGAAAAAUUUUGAAGUUGAAAAUAAACUUGAACCUGAAAGGAAAGUGAAGUUGGCUCAAGAACUUGGUUUACAACCUAGACAAGUUGCUGUUUGGUUUCAAAACAGACGUGCUCGUUGGAAAACAAAGCAAUUAGAGAGAGAUUAUGGUGUGCUUAAAGCUAAUUUUGAUGCCCUCAAACAUAAUUAUGAGUCUCUCAAACAUGAUAAUGAAGCUCUCUUGAAAGAGGUAAUAUAAUGAGUUUAACUUAUAUACACGGAGCAACCGAGACAAGUUGCUGUUUGGUUUCAAAACAGACGUGCUCGUUGGAAAACAAAGCAAUUAGAGAGAGAUUAUGGUGUUCUUAAAGCUAAUUUUGAUGCCCUCAAACAUAAUUAUGAGUCUCUCAAACAUGACAAUGAAGCUCUCUUGAAAGAGGUAAUAUAAUGAGUUUAACUUAUAUACACGGAUAAUGUAAUGAUUUUUAGUAUAGUAGUUUACUUAGUAGAUAAAUAUAUGAAAUUAUUCAUAAAAAGCGAGAUUGAUAACUUUGUUAUAACAUGCUAUUGAGAUAAUGUAAAAAUUCUUUGUACCAUAAGCGGGGCGCAUCUAGAAGCUUAGCUAUGUGUUCGGUAACUUUUGUUUAAACGGUAUAUUUGUGUUGCUAUAUUUACAAAUAUUAAAUUUAACACUUAGUGAUUAGCACUUGAAGCAGGUGUUUUAAAAUUCAGAAUCUCAAAAGUUGAAAUCUUGGCCAUGCAUAAAUUAUAGUUAAUUCUUGAUGUAAAACAUAUAGUGUAGCUAGAUUAGGCUCUAUGGCACUAAAGUGUAAAAAUCUUUACUUUUUGUUUAUAACUUAAAUUUAUUGUGUAAAAGCUACCUCCAAAAUAGUUACUCGAAUACUUUAAAAAUAUAUUACUUUUGGAGGAUCCGACAUGUAUCUAUUGACAUUUUCGAAAACUCCGAUCAACAUGAUAAAAGUACCAGAUAUUUACAUAAAGUUUGAAUCUUUA